rnacentral:tRNA from 1 species
AAGAUUUUAAGUUAAAAAAACUAGAAGCCUUCAAAGCUUAAAAUAAAUAUUCUUUUAAAUCUUA